CUUGAACGCUGGCGGAAUGCUUUACACAUGCAAGUCGAACGGCAGCACGGGGGUAACCCUGGUGGCGAGUGGCGAACGGGUGAGUAAUACAUCGGAACGUGCCCAAUCGUGGGGGAUAACGUAGCGAAAGCUACGCUAAUACCGCAUACGAACUACGGAUGAAAGAGGGGGAUCGCAAGUCCUCGCGCGAACGGAGCGGCCGAUGGCAGAUUAGGUAGUUGGCUGGGUUAAGGCCUACCAAGCCAAAGAUCUGUAGCUGGUCUGAGAGGACGACCAGCCACACUGGGACUGAGACACGGUACAGACUCCUACGGGAGGCAGCAGUGGGGAAUUUUGGACAAUGGGCGCAGGCCUGAUCCAGCCAUUCCGCGUGCAGGAUGAAGGCCUUCGGGUUGUAAACUGCUUUUGUACGGCACGAAACGGCCCUUUCUAAUACAGAGGACUAAUGACGGUACCGUAAGAAUAAGCACCGGCUAACUACGUGCCAGCCGCCGCAGUAA
rnacentral:rRNA from 1 species